rnacentral:tRNA from 2 species
AUUUAAAUAGUUUAAGUAAAACAUCAGUUUGUGGUGCUGGAGAUAUAAGUAGUUAUUUUAAAUA